rnacentral:rRNA from 1 species
CCUACGGGUGGCAGCAGUAGGGAAUAUUGCUCAAUGGGGGAAACCCUGAAGCAGCAACGCCGCGUGGAGGAUGAAGGUUCUCGGAUUGUAAACUCCUUUUGUUAGAGAAGAUAAUGACGGUAUCUAACGAAUAAGCACCGGCUAACUCCGUGCCAGCAGCCGCGGUAAUACGGAGGGUGCAAGCGUUACUCGGAAUCACUGGGCGUAAAGGGUGCGCAGGCGGGCUUGUAAGUCAGAUGUGAAAUCCUGUAGGUUAACUACAGAACUGCAUUUGAAACUAUGAGUCUAGAGUGUGGGAGAGGUAGGUGGAAUUCUUGGUGUAGGGGUAAAAUCCGUAGAUAUCAAGAAGAAUACUCAUUGCGAAGGCGACCUACUGGAACAUUACUGACGCUCAUGCACGAACGCGUGGGGAGCGAACAGGAUUAGAUACCCUUGUAGUC